rnacentral:misc_RNA from 1 species
UUCCACUAAAAAAAAAUUAUGAAAGAAGUUCAAUAUUUCUUCGUUGGACUAAGACUUCCCACUAAAGAAAAUAGACUUUUAGCAAUGGAUUAAUUGAUUCAUCGCUAAUUUACAGUUAAUUCAAAUUUUGAGUUUCAACAACGAAUUUACUCUGUUAAUAAAAUCUGUCACUAAUUAUUAGUGACGGAUUAAUAAUAUAUCAGCAACAAUGACAUUACUAAUCAUGUUAUUCACAACGAUUUUUUUUUCUUUUUUUUUAUAUCUCAUAAUAUAUAUAUUUUUCGCAUCCAUUCGAUUUCAUAGCAUCAAUCAUAACCCGCACAAAUACAAUAAUAAAAAAACCACUAAAUAAUUAAUAAAAAAUUA